rnacentral:misc_RNA from 1 species
GAUGAAGAACGUAGCGAAAAGCGAUACGUAAUGUGAAUUUCAAAUUCAGUGAAUCAUCGAGUCUUUGAACGCACAUUGCGCCCCCUGGUAUUCCGGGGGGCAUGCCUGUCCGAGCGUCAUUGCUGCCCUCAAGCACGGCUUGUGUGUUGGGCCCCGUCCUCCGAUCCCGGGGGACGGGCCCGAAAGGCAGCGGCGGCACCGCGUCCGGUCCUCGAGCGUAUGGGGCUUUGUCACCCGCUCUGUAGGCCCGGCCGGCGCUUGCCGAUCAACCCAAAUUUUUAUCCAGGUUGACCUCGGAUCAGGUAGGGAUACCCGCUGAACUUAAGCAUAUCAAUAAGCGGAGGA